GGUUAAGCGACUAAGCGUACACGGUGGAUGCCCUGGCAGUCAGAGGCGAUGAAGGGCGUGCUAAUCUGCGAUAAGCGCCGGUAAGGUGAUAUGAACCGUUAUAACCGGCGAUACCCGAAUGGGGAAACCCAGUGUGACUCGUCACACUAUCAUUAACUGAAUCCAUAGGUUAAUGAGGCGAACCGGGGGAACUGAAACAUCUAAGUACCCCGAGGAA
rnacentral:rRNA from 2 species